rnacentral:miRNA from 1 species
UGAGAUCGUGUAAAACCAGGAG